AAUGCAAGCUGUCUUAUCGUUCUUGUGCAUAAAAUUAUGUACAGGGAAGGAAAGACCGGGCAACAAAGAGCACCGUACUUCCAAACGGGAAGGUCCAGGGCAUAAUUUAUGUACUGGAACAGAAAGUGCCACAGAAAACAAACCGCCUCGCACACAACUUUCAUUUAAUUCUAAAAUUUGUGGAAUACUAUUAUUUCUAUCGAAUUAGAAAGUUAAAUGAAAGUUGUGUGAGGGGUAAGGGUGAAAAGGUGAGGUAAGAGCUCACCGCCCCGAUAGUGAUAUCGGGGGCAAGGUAAACCUUACGGGUUGAAAGGUCAAAUAGAUCCUUCUUUUCAGCAUCUGUUUCAGGUGUUGGACAAGAACAGCUCAUUCGAGUACCGUUUUACGGUAAAGAGGGAAGGGUAGACCGAUUGAUCCCGACAGUGAUGUCGGGGCUAGAUAGAUGAUAAGACCUCCCACAUGUAGUUUAUGUGAGGGAGUGACAGAACCCGGCUUAUAGGCUUGCAUUUUUU
rnacentral:RNase_P_RNA from 1 species